GAGAUGGAUAAUAAAAAGAUGGAUAAUGAAGUGAUGGAUAAUAAAGAGAUGGAUAAUAAAAAGAUGGAUAAUAAAGAGAUGGAUAAUAAAAAGAUGGAUAAUGAAGUGAUGGAUAAUAAAGAGAUGGAUAAUAAAAAGAUGGAUAAUAAAGAGAUGGAUAAUAAAGAGAUGGAUAAUAAAAAGAUGGAUAAUAAAAAGAUGGAUAAUAAAAAGAUGGAUAAUAAAACAAAUAUAUAUUGUAAUACUACUACUGAAUUUGGUAAUGGCACUAUUAAAAUUAAUAAAUAUAAAAAUAAUAAUAUAGACAGUUCAUACCCAAAUAAAAAUAUUGAUACAUAUAUUAAUCGAAAUAAAAUGAAAAUAGGAAGCGAAACUCUGUUUUCUUUAUCAAAUAAAAAUAGUUUGACAUUAAAUGGUAUGAACACAAAUAAGUUAAGCCAACUUGAGAAAUUAAAAUUAAUAAAUGAAAGAUCGAAAGAUGUUUUAACUAAUGAUUCAUCGUCAUUAGAUUCGAAUGAAAUAAUUCCUGAACAUGUUCAGAAAAUUAUAGAAAAAAGAAGAGAAUAUUUUAAAAUAAAAAAAAAUUUACGAAAAAAUGAAAAAAAUAAAAAUAUUCCAAAAAAAGCAAAACCAUUUGUUUCGUCAGAAUGUAGUGAGUCAUUUAGAAAUACAUUUUAUAAAGAAGAAAAUAAUACAAACAAUGUUUUAUUAUUAAAAAAUUUAAGCAAUUUACCUAUAUUAAAACAAUCCUUUAGUAAUAAUAUGGAUAUAAUUAAAAAGAGUGUUAGUGAUAUUCAACCCAUCACCUAUGAUACCGAUAUAGUUAGCAACGAUAAUAUCCUUAAAACGUUUAGUAACAAUUUACAUAAUACGAACAGUUUAUAUAAUAUGGAUAUUCAGUCACUUACUUCUUUUAACGAAGUUCCUGGAUUGUUAAAAAAAAAAAUAUAUUUGGUAGUGUGGACACAUUACCUUUAACAAAUAAUCACGACAAAAAUAACUUUAAUAAUAAUACUAGUGCGAAUUGUAAAAACAUGAACAAUUUAAAGAAUAUCCGUAAUAAUACUGAUGCUAUGAGUGAUUAUAAUUUUAGUGCAGAUUACAGCACGAGAUGUUACACUAACAAAAAUAACAACAGUAACGAAAGUAAUAAAAGUGGUAACAGUAAUAAACGUAGCA
rnacentral:lncRNA from 1 species